GACGGAGGGUGCAAGCGUUGUUCGGAUUGACUGGGCGUAAAGGGCGUGUAGGCGGUUGGUCAAGUCUGAUGUGAAAGCCCGGGGCUCAGCCCCGGAAGGGCAUCGGAAACUAGCCAGCUGGAGCGCGAUAGAGGAGGGUGGAAUUCCUGGUGUAGCGGUGAAAUGCGUAGAUAUCGAGAGGAACACCUGCGGCGAAGGCGGGUUGCUGGGCUGACACUGACGCUGAUGCGCGAAAGCCAGGGGAGCGAACGGG
rnacentral:rRNA from 1 species